UACGUAGGGUGCUAGCGUUGUCCGGAUUUAUUGGGCGUAAAGGGCUCGUAGGCGGUUCGUCACGUCGGCUGUGAAAUCCCGAGGCUCAACCUCGGGUCUGCAGUCGAUACGGGCGGACUUGAGUACUGCAGGGGAGACUGGAAUUCCUGGUGUAGCGGUGAAAUGCGCAGAUAUCAGGAGGAACACCGGUGGCGAAGGCGGGUCUCUGGGCAGUAACUGACGCUGAGGAGCGAAAGCGUGGGGAGCGAACAGG
rnacentral:rRNA from 1 species